rnacentral:rRNA from 1 species
AUUGAACGCUGGCGGCAGGCCUAACACAUGCAAGUCGAGCGGAGCGGCCGACGGGUGGGUAAUGCCUAGGAAUCUGCCUGGUCGUGGGGGGUAACGUACGGAAACGGGCGCUAAUUCCGCAUACUCUCAGAUGAGCCUAGGUCGGAUUAGCUAGUUGGUGGGGUAAAGGCCUACCAAGGCGACGAUCCGUAGCUGGUCUGAGAGGAUGAUCAGUCACACUGGAACUGAGACACGGUCCAGACUCCUACGGGAGGCAGCAGUGGGGAAUAUUGGACAAUGGGCGAAAGCCUGAUGCAGCCAUGCCGCGUGUGUGAAGAAGGUCUUCGGAUUGUAAAGCACUUUAAGUCGGGAGGCGUUACCGACAGAAUAAGCACCGGCUAACUCCGUGCCAGCCGCCGCGGUAAUUC